rnacentral:ribozyme from 1 species
CUGGCUGGCGGGCGCGGCGCGGGUGGUGCCCCCCUCGCACUACCUGCACCCGGACGGCGCGCUCUUCCAGUUCCCCAUGCUCAAGGCGGAGGGCCUGAAGGGCGCCAUCGUCUACUACGACGGCCAGAUGAACGACACGCGCAUGAACCUCGUCGUCGCCCUCACCGCCGACCAA